rnacentral:rRNA from 1 species
UACGUAGGGUGCAAGCGUUGUCCGGAAUUAUUGGGCGUAAAGAGCUUGUAGGCGGUUUGUCGCGUCUGCUGUGAAAUUUCGGGGCUCAACCCCGAACUUGCAGUGGGUACGGGCAGACUAGAGUGUGGUAGGGGAGACUGGAAUUCCUGGUGUAGCGGUGAAAUGCGCAGAGAUCCGGAGGAACACCAGUGGCGAAGGCGACACGCUGGGCCGUACCUGACACUGAGGCGCGAUAGCAUGGGGAGCAAACAGG